GAUGAAGAACGCAGCAAAAUGCGAUACUUGGUGUGAAUUGCAGAAUCCCGUGAACCAUCGAGUUUUUGAACGCAAGUUGCGCCCGAAGCCAUUAGGCCGAGGGCACGCCUGCCUGGGCGUCACACGUCGUUGCCCCCCCAUCUACUCCUUCGGGAUUGCGGGGGGCGGAUGAUGGCCUCCCGUGCGCCUCGUCGCGCGGUUGGCAUAAAUGCCAAGUCCUCGGCGACGCACGCCACGACAAUCGGUGGUUGCGAAACCUCGGUUGCCCGUCGUGUGCGGUCGUCGCGCAUCGAGGGCUCGAAAAAAUUGCCGGGCUCCGGCUCGGCUUUCAACGCGACCCCAGGUCAGGCGGGGUUACCCGCUGAAUUUAAGCAUAUCAAUAAGCGGAGGA
rnacentral:misc_RNA from 1 species